ACUUUUCUGUAAGAGCAGAAAUUUCGCAUACGUUUCUCCUUCGAACAAAUUCAAGAAUCGAGCCCCAGAGAGCAGAUCGAGAGUAUUCGGAAAGUAUCUGAUUGCUUUACAUAAUUUUUGUGCUUGCUUGUGUUAUAAUUUUGUCAUUUUUAUCACUUCCACGAAAGAAGCAAUGUCAUUGAAAUUCAAAUGUGGAUAUUGUGGCUGGAUUCUUUGGGACAAAAAUGGGACAAUAUCACAUGGUUGCUUUAAAAAUUGUAAAGAGUUAAUAAUGGACGAAGAUAGAAAUCUCUUUAGAAAAG